rnacentral:snoRNA from 1 species
GAUGAUGAUCAAAUUUUUAACUCGUAGCCACUGGCUGUGAAGAUGAAAACGCAACAACAACACUCUAAUUUUUUGCUGACA